rnacentral:snRNA from 1 species
AAUCCGGGCUAGAAGCGACGCA